CCGAACUGCAUGCAACAUGGGGAAGUGGGGCAAGAUAAGGGAUUGGGCCGUCCUUGGCGCUUUCAGCUUUCUCCCGUGGGACACUUAGCGGUUUAAAAUAAUUCGCAAUGUCACCCUUCAUCCUCGGAUGGAUGUAUCAGCAUUUUUUUUCCCCCCAUAAGUGGACGCACAGAUGAAGCCUUCUGCACAAUUAGCAAAACCGGUCACAUCGUGAACAU
rnacentral:lncRNA from 1 species